rnacentral:tRNA from 1 species
GGGUCGUUAGCUCAGCUGGUAGAGCAGCGGACUCUUAAUCCGUUUGUCGCAGGUUCGAUCCCUACACGGCCUACCA